UCUCCAUCACAUAAAUAAAAUCUUAAAAAAAAAAAAAAGAAAAAAGAAUAUUUUGUGUGUUGUCCUCAGUUCCUAUAAUCACUUCAGAUCCAUAAAGGUGAAAUGGAUGUCUUGUUUUGCGUAACAAGCCCCUUCCCACCAAAAUGGAAUUAUGUCAAUGAAAUGACAGGGGCCAGUUGCCAGGAUAAUCAGCCUUGAUUAGAGGGUUGGGACAAGUCCUACCCCCUGAUUUCUGGGAAGACAGAAGGGCUGGAGGUUUAAUCAGUCAGUCAUCAGUGGCCAGUGACUUAAUUAGUCAUGCCUUUGUAAUAAAGCCUCCAUAAAAAUCCAGAGAAUGGAAUUUGGAGAUCUUCUGGGUUGAUGAACACAGGGAAAGUUGGGGAGAGUGGAACAGAGCAAGAGAGUUUGGAAGCUUCACACCUUAGCCUACGCAUCUGGCUGUUCCUGAGUUCUAUCCUUUGAUAAUAAACUGGUAAUCUAACAAGUACAUUUUUUUUUUCUGAGUUCUAUGAGCCACUCUAACAAAUUAAUUGAACCUGAGCAGGCAGGGGGUCUUUGGAAACUCUGGUCUGUAGCCAGUGGGUCAGAGGCAAAGGUAACAACCUGGACUUGAUGCCUCAAAUGGGGGACAGUGAGGGCAGUAUUGUGGGAUUGAGCCUUUAACUUGUGGGAUGCAUUUGAUUUGUAGGACAUUCACUGGUGUCAGAUAUUGCUUGUUGGUGUGGAGAAACCCUUUCAUUCCCCCCACCACACAUAGAAGAAGUGGAAUCAGAAUCUUUACCGUGUCUUAUGAAAACAUGAUCCCCAUUGUGUCUUAACUCUGAUUUUCCAAAAUUAUUUUGCAGGUGCUAGAUUAAGGAACCUUAAGUUGACAUUCUCCU